AUGUCUGUACUUUGCUCAAGACAAAGCUGGUUGUACCUGUAUGUGAGCCCAUCUGUGAGCUCCCAAAGUGUUUCACCAGUGACACGAGGUGGGAUGUGGGGGGAGCAGUGGAGGGAAGGAGGUCCAGGCUCACCUCACAAUUUGCUGUCUGCUUUUCUCUACAGCCCCUUUGGGAGCUGGAGGCUCCAUCACUUUGUUGAAUGUUGGUUUCGUUUCAGGUUGUCCAGAAGGAGAAGCAGCACCAAGCUUGUGUCUUCCAAGCCAGGCUCCCAAAGGCUCCAGAGCAAGGAGCAGCCCCUGGAUCCUGGCUGUGAUGGGGAGGGUGCCCAGGCCUGUGCUGCAGCCGGGGAAGGGGCAGAAGCACCAGGUCCCAGCAGGACCCAGGCGUGUUACCCACAGCACUGCCCUGCGGGUGCCUGUGCACUCCCUGCCUGGGAGCAGUCACCGCGGGAGGAUGCAGACAGCGAGGGGCAGGAUGAGGCCCCUGUCCCCGGGGUCCAUGCUGGCCCCACAGCGAGGGGGGCUCCGGCAGCCGCCGGCAGAAGAACGAGCACCUCCACUCCCAAGGCUGCCGGAGCUGCUGCUGGAGCCGGAGCUGCUGCUGGAGCCGGAGCUGCUCCGGAGCCGGGGGAUCCGCUCCUGCCGGGCUCCGGCAGCCGAGGAGCAGCUCUGGGACCCAGAGCACGGCGCAGCUCCGGGCGCCGGGGCUCGCUGAGUGCCCUCGGUGCGGGCCGCAGGAGGAGCUCCCUGGGCAGCCGGAGGGCGAGCAGGAGCCGCAGGGCCACGGCCAGGAAGGCGGCGGCGACGGAAUCAUCCUCUGCCUCCAGCAGAGUGAGCUGGCUUGUGGCUUCUGCCCAUCAGGGGAGUGAUCUUCGGGUCUUCAUCCACUGUCAGAGCGAGCCCUGGGCUGUGUUUCACUGCAUCAGGAGGUGUCUGCUGGGCACAGGGGCUGGAGGCUGAGUUACAGAGGGUGUGGGUGGGCAAAAACCAAGAGGGAAGGGGAAGAUGUGGCCUGGCAGGUUCCAGCCAUGGUGGGGCUUGCCUGGUCAGAAGACACUGUUGUGGUUCCUGGGAAUGGGCUUCAUGCUUCUGACACCUCACAGGGAAUCUGUAAGAACUGAACUGAAUGUCCCCACCCCUGAAAUCUGCCUGAAACAGGCAGAGGAUAGAAAGGGUUUGGGUGUAGGUAGAGGAGAAUCAGAGGAAAUGGGACUCAGAUGGAAUCCCAGCCUGGCUUGGGCUGGAAAGGACCUUAAGCUCCUCCAGUUCCCAGGCAGGGACAUCUCACACCGUGUCGCCCAGCCUGGCCUCUGAAUCCAGGUCAUUCCUCUUGUCCUCUGCUCCCACAGCUCCUGGGAAGGUUUUGCUGUUUGGGCUUUCUAAAAGCGUUGCUGCUGAAGUCAGUGGGUUCUAGCAGAGCCCGGAGGCCUCAGGAUUCUGUUGUCAGCUUUGAGUCACGCUGUCUCGGGUGUUUGUUACCACACUUGAGCAAAGUGCUGCUGGGGGGGAUGAAACCAGCCUGAAUGCACCAGAUCUCUGCAGGAGCUGGGUGAUGGGUGAUGGGAGCUGCUGCCUCUGACAGCAGAGCCUGUGCAGCUGCAGAGCCUGCAGGGAGCUGCUCCUCGGUUCCUCCUCCCAGCCCACACCGUGUGUCAGUGCCACCCGAGGGAGGUGGUGCUGGUGCUGGUGUGGAGCCGGGAUGAGCAAUGGGAGCUUCCCCCGGGAGGGAAGCGGCAGCACCCGGAGCUGCACCACACACACUCUGCUGCUCCCGGGGAGCACCAACA
rnacentral:lncRNA from 14 species